UUUCAUAUUUGAUAGUAUUCUAUUCUGGCCAAUACAAUACCAGGACACGUAUCCAAAGCCCCAAUGUUUGAGAGCUGAACUCAAGCCCUAGACGAAGAAGAAGAAGAGAAAGCAAUCAAGUCGAUUCAAACACUGUUUUACAAGAGAUCUUCUUUCUCAUAUCGAUGUCGGACUUUUUUCCAGACGAAAUUGUGGUUGAAAUCCUCCAGACUACCCACCAAAUCCCUAAUCCAAUUCAGCGAUGAUAUAGAAGGCUAAAGUGCCCAUAAAAGUUGCAGGUUUUGUGGACAGUUUGUCACAGUAAGAUUAAUACUCGUGACUUGGUCCGAAAGAGGAGGCCUAAUGUUGCUGUUUCUCCACAUGGGUUUGACCAAAGCUCUCAAGCACGAAUAGAUGCACUUGUGAUUGAUAUUCGAAGGCAGCGUUGUGAAUAUAGCCUCCAAUUUGAAGAGAUAAAGAGAGAGAUAGAGGUAGCAAAUGAGGACCAUAGCAAGAAUGGGGCCUCAACACCAUGCUGAGGACUUUGCCAAACUCUAUACUUUUUUUUUUUGCCACUUCAACUCAGGGAUGUUUCAAUAACUGAUUGAUAUAUUUUUGACAAGUUAACUGAUGGAAAUACAAGCAAUAAUGGGUAUUAAGGAACCUUGGAAAAAACCAUCCACCGCUUGCGCAAAUAGUAUGGGAGUGGCAUUAACACUUUUUCUUUGCAGAAUGAGUGGGAUUCACAUUUGGAUGCUAAAGAAACAUAUUUGUAGGAACAAAUUGAUUCGAUGACGCUCACGGCCACUUCUCAAGGUCCCGUGGUGAAUGAUUGUGAUGUAGCUGAGAAACUGAGCAACAGUUGUGUUCUUGGCAAGGGUGUGGGCGUCAAGGGCAAAGAUUUGAAUGGAUGCACCUCCUCAGGCCAAGGCAAGGAUUUGGAGGCAGAUUUAAUAAAAAUGAAGGCUGAAUCUGAUGAAGGGUUGAAGAAGUUGUCUCAGAUAAAGGAUAUAAUAAUGCAGAUCAUUAGCAAAUCGUUAAAACCUACAGACUACAGUGCUGGCAUCUAAUGCACAGCCAUGUUCCAGGUACAAUCUAAAGCUUAUUAAAAAUUUCUAUUGAAUUGUGUGCUUUUGGUUAUUAAGAUAGCUCUGAGUUCACUUGUUUUUAGUGUUGUUUGAGUUGGAAAUAUUAUGAUAUUUGUAGGAUCUCAUUAGAUAAAAUCAAUAUGUUGAAGAGGUUGCAUGAACUGUUCCUUAUUGGCAAAAUUGUUUUCUGAUUUUUUUUGUAUUAUUUACUUUCAUGCAUAUAUAUGCAUGUAUCAUCUUUUAAUUACCUUACAUUUGCUAGAGUUA